rnacentral:rRNA from 1 species
GACGAACGCUGGCGGCGUGCUUAACACAUGCAAGUCGAGCGGUAAGGCCCUUUCGGGGGUACACGAGCGGCGAACGGGUGAGUAACACGUGGGUGACCUGCCCUCAGCUCUGGGAUAAGCCUGGGAAACCGGGUCUAAUACUGGAUAUGACUCCAUGACGCAUGUUGUGGGGUGGAAAGCCUUGUGCGGCUGAGGAUGGGCCCGCGGCCUAUCAGCUUGUUGGUGGGGGAUGGCCUACCAAGGCGACGACGGGUAGCCGGCCUGAGAGGGCGACCGGCCACACUAGGACUGAGACACGGCCCAGACUCCUACGGGAGGCAGCAGUGGGGAAUCCUGCGCAAUGGGCGAAAGCCUGACGCAGCGACGCCGCGUGA